GUCGUCGUCGCGGACGACGUGUCGCUGCGCGCGCUCACCGAGCGCGGGCGCCGCCGCGGCAUCGCCGGCACCGUGCUCGUGCACAAGCUCGCCGGCGCGGCCGCCGAGCGCGGCCUCACGCUGGCGCAGGUGGCCGCCGCCGCGAACGCGGCGGCGGCGCGGCUCGGCACGAUGGGCGUCGCGCUCGACGGCUGCACGAUGCCGGGCGCCGAGCAAUCCGGCUUUCGCCUGGCCGAUCACGAAAUCGAGCUCGGGCUGGGCAUACACGGCGAAAAGGGCGUACAGCGCACGGCGCCGAUGCCGGCCGACGCGCUGGCCGAAACGCUCGUCGCGGCGAUCGUCGACGAUCAGUCGAUCGCGCGCGGCGACCGGGUCGCGCUGCUCGUGAACGGGCUCGGCGCGACGCCCGACAUGGAGCUCGGCAUCGUGCUGCGCGCGGCGUACGACAGCCUGAGCCGGCGCGGCGUCGAGGUGGCGCGUGCAUGGGCGGGCACCUUCCUGUCCGCGCUCGACAUGCCGGGUUGCUCGAUUUCGCUGCUCAAGCUGAACGACGACCUGCUCGAGCUGCUCGACGCGCCGACGCAGGCGCGCGCGUGGCCCGGCGGCGGCGCGGUGAACCGGGACAUUCGCGUGGCGUGCGCCGAAGCCGGCCCGGCCGACGGCCCGCCGCAAUGGGCGACGGCGAGCAUGGCGAGCGCGAUGGGCGCCGACGUGCUGCAACCCGCGCUGCAUGCGGUCGCCGCCGCGCUGAUCGACCACGAGCCGGUGUUGACCGAACUCGAUGCCGUCGCGGGCGACGGCGAUCUGGGCGCGAGCAUGCGGCGCGCGGCGAACGCGAUGCUCGCGCUGCCCGCCGACGCGUAUCGGGGGCCGGCCGUCCUGCUCGCCGCGCUCGGCGCCGCGCUGCGCCGGGCGAUCGCGGGCAGCUCCGGGCCGUUCUACGCGACGGCGCUGGUGCGCGCGGCCCGCCGGCUCGCCGAGGCGCCGGAUCCCGGCGCGCGCGACUGGGCGAGCGCGUUUCGCAGCGGCGUCGACGCGAUCGGCGAACUGGGCGGCGCGAAGCCCGGCGAUCGCACGAUGCUCGACGCAUUGGUGCCCGCCGCCGAUGCGUUCGAGCGCGAACUGUCGGCGGGCGGCAGCGCGCGUGCCGCAUGGGCGGCGGCCGUGCGCGCGGCCGACGAAGGCGCGGCGCGCACCGCGGGCAUGACGCCGCGCGCGGGGCGCGCGAGCUAUCUGGGCGCGCGCGCGGUGGGCGCGCCCGACGGCGGUGCGGUCGCCGUCGCGUGCUGGCUGCGCGCGUUGCAGCCGCACGUGGCGUAGCGGCGCAUCGCGCGCUUCGGUGGCGGGCAUCGCGGCCGGCGUCGCCGUUCGGGGACGGCCGGCGAUCCGUCGGCCGUCGGCGUGGCGCGCGCGGGCGGGGCGUUCGCGCCGUCGGCGGGCCGGCGAACGGGCUG
rnacentral:rRNA from 2 species